GAUGAACGCUGGCGGCGUGCUUAAUACAUGCAAGUCGAGCGAACAGAUGAGGAGCUUGCUCCUCUGACGUUAGCGGCGCAAGGGUGAGUAACACGUGGAUAACCUACCUAUAUUUCUGGGAUCACUUGGGGAAACCGGAGAUAAUACCGGAGAAUAUCUUGCACCGCAUGGUUCAAUAGUGAAAGACGGUUUUGCUGUCACUUAUAGAUGGAUCCGCGCCGCAUUAGCUAGUUGGUAAGGUAACGGCUUACCAAGGCAACGAUGCGUAGCCGACCUGAGAGGGUGAUCGGCCACACUGGAACUGAGACACGGUCCAGACUCCUACGGGAGGCAGCAGUAGGGAAUCUUCCGCAAUGGGCGAAAGCCUGACGGAGCAACGCCGCGUGAGUGAUGAAGGUCUUCGGAUCGUAAAACUCUGUUAUUAGGGAAGAACAAAUGUGUAAGUAACUAUGCACGUCUUGACGGUACCUAAUCAGAAAGCCACGGCUAACUACGUG
rnacentral:rRNA from 1 species